rnacentral:rRNA from 1 species
GUUUGUUUCUGACACUGAAUACACCCAAUCUCAUCUGAUCUGCAAAGCUAAGCAGGAUUGGGCCUGGUUAGUAUUUGGAUGGGAGACUACCUGGGAAUACCACGUGCUGUAAGCU